ensembl:lncRNA
CAACAACAACAACAACAACAACAACAACAACACAGGCCACUGGAGGAAAUAAGAACAGAGGACAACAUGGUCAAUACAACAACAACAACAGACCACUGGAGGAAAUAAGAACAGAGGACAACAUGGUCAAUACAACAACAACAACAACAACAACAACAGACCACUGGGGGAAAUAAGAACAGAGGACAACAUGGUCAAUACAACAACAACAACAACAACAACAGGCCACUGGGGGAAAUAAGAACAGAGGACAACAUGGUCAAUACAACAACAACAACAACAACAACAACAGGCCACUGGGGUAAAUAAGAACAGAGGACAACAUGGUCAAUACAACAACAACAACAGACCACUGGGGGAAAUAAGAACAGAGGACAACAUGGUCAAUACAACAACAACAACAACAACAGACUACUGGGGGAAAUAACAACAGAGGACAACAUGGUCAAUACAACAACAACAACAACAGACCACUGGGGGAAAUAAGAACAGAGGACAACAUGGUCAAUACAACAACAACAACAACAACAACAACAGACCACUGGGGGAAAUAAGAACAGAGGACAACAUGGUCAAUACAACAACAACAACAGGCCACUGGGGGAAAUAAGAACAGAGGACAACAACAACAACAACAACAACAACAACAACAACAACAACAGGCCACUGGUGUAAAUAACAACAGAGGACAACAUGGUCAAUACAACAACAACAACAGACCACUACAGAGACGGACAGAGAAGAAGUCAAUAACGGACAGGGUCGUGUUUAGAAGCUCAAUACAGAAGAAAACACAGUGAAACAGGAGGUAGAAAACUAUCUGAACUUGUUCAAUAUCAAAUGACUGUUUAGUUUUGCAACACAUUUCGUUAUGGUGUGUGCUCAAAUGAACACAACCCAGCUUCA